CAGGCUCAGGACGAACGCUGGCGGCGUGCCUAAUACAUGCAAGUCGAACGAACUCUGGUAUUGAUUGGUGCUUGCAUCAUGAUUUACAUUUGAGUGAGUGGCGAACUGGUGAGUAACACGUGGGAAACCUGCCCAGAAGCGGGGGAUAACACCUGGAAACAGAUGCUAAUACCGCAUAACAACUUGGACCGCAUGGUCCGAGUUUGAAAGAUGGCUUCGGCUAUCACUUUUGGAUGGUCCCGCGGCGUAUUAGCUAGAUGGUGGGGUAACGGCUCACCAUGGCAAUGAUACGUAGCCGACCUGAGAGGGUAAUCGGCCACAUUGGGACUGAGACACGGCCCAAACUCCUACGGGAGGCAGCAGUAGGGAAUCUUCCACAAUGGACGAAAGUCUGAUGGAGCAACGCCGCGUGAGUGAAGAAGGGUUUCGGCUCGUAAAACUCUGUUGUUAAAGAAGAACAUAUCUGAGAGUAACUGUUCAGGUAUUGACGGUAUUUAACCAGAAAGCCACGGCUAACUACGUGCCAGCAGCCGCGGUAAUACGUAGGUGGCAAGCGUUGUCCGGAUUUAUUGGGCGUAAAGCGAGCGCAGGCGGUUUUUUAAGUCUGAUGUGAAAGCCUUCGGCUCAACCGAAGAAGUGCAUCGGAAACUGGGAAACUUGAGUGCAGAAGAGGACAGUGGAACUCCAUGUGUAGCGGUGAAAUGCGUAGAUAUAUGGAAGAACACCAGUGGCGAAGGCGGCUGUCUGGUCUGUAACUGACGC
rnacentral:rRNA from 1 species